UAGAAUGGUCUACCCUCGGAAUACCCCGC
rnacentral:piRNA from 1 species